UACUAAAAUUCCCAAAACAUGCUCUUUUGUGUCACUUCAAUUGCUUUCUUAAUUAAAAUUGUCUUUUAAUUAUCUCUUUCUAUAUUCAAAAGUAGUUUCAAGUCUAUUUGUUACUUCUCCUCUGUUUUUAUAAAUCCCUUUGCUUCAAAAAUUGAAAGCUCUUGCUUCUUGGUUUUCCAGUUGACUGCGAGUCUCUUGCGGAAGAGUUUUCGUUGGUUUUCUCUUUUAUCCAGGUGCGUAUUUUGAAAGAUGGAUUUGUGCGAGGCCUCUGUUCCGAGGAGGCGGACCAGACAACAAUGGGAUAAAUACUUUCUUGAGUUGUACGAGAAAAAGAAGGGGUUGAGUCAAAGUGAUAAUCCUCCUGAGACUUACUGGAUGAAAACAAAGAUGAAAAAAUGGACAAAGGGAAAAACAGUGUAAACGAUAGGAAGAGGGUCGAAAUGUCUGAUGAAAAGGAAGGUAGUGAGAGACAUCAUUAUCAUUAAGUACGCUGAGGCAAUAGCAUAAGAGAAGGGCUUUUCAUACUUCUUAUUUUCUUUUGGUAGUAGUUGUAACGGUGUACGAUAGACUCUUGUGGUCCGGCCAUUUUCUGAAUUCCGCGCAUAGCAAGAGCUUAGUACACUGCGUAAUUGUAAUGGUGUGUUGGGAUAAGUUUGUGCCUAACUCGUUGUAUUCCAUCAGAUACCUGUUGCUACUUGCACCAUACAUAUAUUAGGUAAUUGGCAAAACGUAAGUAUUUUUUUU